rnacentral:sRNA from 1 species
AAGGGACCUAGCGUAGUUCGGAAUUACUGGGCUUAAAGAGUUCGUAGGUGGUUGAAAAAGUUGGUGGUGAAAUCCCAGAGCUUAACUCUGGAACUGCCAUCAAAACUUUUCAGCUAGAGUAUGAUAGAGGAAAGCAGAAUUUCUAGUGUAGAGGUGAAAUUCGUAGAUAUUAGAAAGAAUACCAAUUGCGAAGGCAGCUUUCUGGAUCAUUACUGACACUGAGGAACGAAAGCAUGGGUAGCGAAGAGGAUUAGAUACCCUCGUAGUCCAUGCCGUAAACGAUGUGUGUUAGACGUUGGAAAUUUAUUUUCAGUGUCGCAGGGAAACCGAUAAACACACCGCCUGGGGAGUACGACCGCAAGGUUAAAACUCAAAUGAAUUGACGGGGACCCGCACAAGUAGUGGAGCAUAUGGUUUAAUUCGAAGAUACGCGCAGAACCUCACCAACACUUGACAUGUUCGUCGCGACUCUAAGAGAUUAGAGUUUUCGGUUCGGCCGGACGAAACACAGGUGCUGCAUGGCUGUCGUCAGCUCGUGUCGUGAGAUGUUGGGUUAAGUCCCGCAACGAGCGCAACCCUCACUUUUAGUUGCCAUCAUUAAGUUGGGCACUCUGAAAGAACCGCCAGUGAUAAGCUGGAGGAAGGUGGGGAUGACGUCAAGUCCUCAUGGCCCUUAUGUGUUGGGCUACACACGUGCUACAAUGGCAACUACAACAGGAAGCAAAACGGCAACGUUAAGCAAAUCCCGAAAAGAUGCCUCAGUUCGGAUUGCACUCUGCAACUCGAGUGCAUGAAGCUGGAAUUACUAGUAAUCGUGGAUCAGCGUGCCACGGUGAAUGCGUUCCCGGGUCUUGUACACACCGCCCGUCACACCAUGGGAGUUGGUUCUACCCUAAGGCAAGGUUUCAAACCCUUGACCACGGUAUAGUCAGCGACUGGGGUGAAGUCGUAACAAGGUAGCCGUAGGGGAACCUGCGGCUGGAUUACCUCCUUUCUAAGGAUGAGUGAAAGAGAAAAAUUUCACUCUAAAUAAUAUACAUCGGUAAUGUGGACCGUUCUCAUUUCUCUUCUUAAAGUAAUGUUUCCUUCUUGUAGGGCCGGUAGCUCAGUUGGUUAGAGCACACCCUUGAUAAGGGUGGGGUCGAAAGUUCGAGUCUUUCUCGGCCCACCAAAAACCUAAAUGGGGGAUUAGCUCAUCUGGGAGAGCGCCUGAUUUGCAUUCAGGAGGUAGCAGGUUCGAUCCCUGUAUCCUCCACCAGGAAACAUUUAGCUAUUAAAACUGUAAAUAAAAAUAAUUUAUAUCAAUAUCUAUAUCCGAACAUUAAAAGUUAUUAUUUAAUGUUCAAAAUAAAAAUUUGAUCACAACAUAGUUAAAUUUUCUUUAAGAAGAAUUUUUUUCUGUGCAUAAAUCAAGCGUUUAAGGGCGUGUAGUGGAUGCCUUGGCACUGAAAGCCGAUGAAGGACGUGAUAUACUGCGAUAAGUUUCGGGGAGCUGUAUGUAAGCUUUGAUCCGAAAAUUU